rnacentral:rRNA from 1 species
UACGGAGGGUGCGAGCGUUGCUCGGAAUCAUUGGGCGUAAAGCGUACGCAGGCGGCUCGGUAAGUCGGGUGUGAAAGCCCAGGGCUCAACCCUGGAAAUGCGCCCGAGACUGUCGAGCUUGAGUGCGGGAGAGGGAAGCGGAAUUCCUGGUGUAGAGGUGAAAUUCGUAGAUAUCAGGAGGAACACCGGUGGCGAAAGCGGCUUCCUGGCCCGACACUGACGCUCAUGUACGAAAGCGUGGGGAGCAAACAGG